GUAGGUGGCAAGCGUUGUCCGGAAUUAUUGGGCGUAAAGCGCGCGCAGGCGGUCCUUUAAGUCUGAUGUGAAAGCCCACGGCUCAACCGUGGAGGGUCAUUGGAAACUGGGGGACUUGAGUACAGAAGAGGAAAGCGGAAUUCCGAGUGUAGCGGUGAAAUGCGUAGAGAUUUGGAGGAACACCAGUGGCGAAGGCGGCUUUCUGGUCUGUAACUGACGCUGAGGCGCGAAAGCGUGGGGAGCAAACAGGAUUAGAUACCCUGGUAGUCCACGCCGUAAACGAUGAGUGCUAAGUGUUAGGGGGUUUCCGCCCCCCUUAGUGCUGCAGCUAACGCAUUAAGCACUCCGCCUGGGGAGUACGGCCGCAAGGCUG
rnacentral:rRNA from 1 species